GCGACUUCGGCUGCCUCAUGGGGAACCUGAUGCGAUGCCGGUUGCGUUGCUCUCGGAUAAACCCGGGGACCCUGGGCUACUGCCAGGGCGGCCGCUGCAUGUGCGAGACGGGCAUUCCUGUGCCAGGCCCAGCGGGUAUUAUGCGGCCCAGAUUAGUGCCACAAGCCGGGCCUAUUGGACCAGCGUUCGGUCUUCCGGUCGUGGCCUCGCGUGCAUGAUGGGCAACCCGUUCUUGUGCCGGCAACGCUGCUUCAUGCUGUACCCCGGCAGCACAGGCUUCUGCAUGGGCUUCCUGUGUCGAUGCAUUGGCGGCCCCUUUGGAGCCCUAGGACCAUUGGGAAUGAUGGGCAACCCGCUCCUCUUAGGGUGAUGAACGAGGCCGCCGUUCUAUGCUGCAGCAUAAGCACGGGUGCGGUGCCGUGGUGCACCCUGUCCAAUAAAAUGGGCCCGUUCGGCGUCGUUUCUGUUA